rnacentral:rRNA from 1 species
GACGAACGCUGGCGGCGUGCUUAACACAUGCAAGUCGAACGGAAAGGCCCUGCUUGCAGGGUGCUCGAGUGGCGAACGGGUGAGUAACACGUGGGUGAUCUGCCCCUUACUUUGGGAUAAGCCUGGGAAACUGGGUCUAAUACUGGAUAGGACCAUGCUGUAGGUGGUGUGGUGGAAAGAUUAGUUUCGGUAAGGGAUGAGCUCGCGGCCUAUCAGCUUGUUGGUGGGGUAAUGGCCUACCAAGGCGUCGACGGGUAGCCGGCCUGAGAGGGUGGACGGCCACAUUGGGACUGAGAUACGGCCCAGACUCCUACGGGAGGCAGCAGUGGGGAAUAUUGCACAAUGGGCGCAAGCCUGAUGCAGCGACGCCGCGUGGGGGAUGACGGCCUUCGGGUUGUAAACUCCUUUCAGCCACGACGAAGCCCUUGUGGUGACGGUAGUGGUAGAAGAAGCACCGGCUAACUACGUGCCAGCAGCCGCGGUAAUACGUAGGGUGCGAGCGUUGUCCGGAAUUACUGGGCGUAAAGAGCUCGUAGGUGGUCUGUCGCGUCAUUUGUGAAAGCCCGGGGCUUAACUCCGGGUUGGCAGGUGAUACGGGCAUGACUGGAGUACUGUAGGGGAGACUGGAAUUCCUGGUGUAGCGGUGAAAUGCGCAGAUAUCAGGAGGAACACCGGUGGCGAAGGCGGGUCUCUGGGCAGUAACUGACGCUGAGGAGCGAAAGCAUGGGUAGCGAACAGGAUUAGAUACCCUGGUAGUCCAUGCCGUAAACGGUGGGCGCUAGGUGUGGGUUUCCUUCCACGGGAUCCGUGCCGUAGCUAACGCAUUAAGCGCCCCGCCUGGGGAGUACGGCCGCAAGGCUAAAACUCAAAGGAAUUGACGGGGGCCCGCACAAGCGGCGGAGCAUGUGGAUUAAUUCGAUGCAACGCGAAGAACCUUACCUGGGCUUGACAUGCACUGGAUGCGGCCAGAGAUGGUUGUUCCCUUUGUGGCUGGUGUGCAGGUGGUGCAUGGUUGUCGUCAGCUCGUGUCGUGAGAUGUUGGGUUAAGUCCCGCAACGAGCGCAACCCUUGUCUCGUGUUGCCAGCAUUUGGUUGGGGACUCGCGGGAGACUGCCGGGGUUAACUCGGAGGAAGGUGGGGAUGACGUCAAAUCAUCAUGCCCCUUAUGUCCAGGGCUUCACACAUGCUACAAUGGCUGGUACAGAGAGUUGCGAUACCGUGAGGUGGGGCUAAUCUCGUAAAGCCAGUCUCAGUUCGGAUUGGAGUCUGCAACUCGACUCCAUGAAGUCGGAGUCGCUAGUAAUCGCAGAUCAGCAAUGCUGCGGUGAAAAAGUUCCCGGGCCU